CUUACACAUUUUCAGAGCUUGGAGUUGAGGCCACCAACUAGGCUCACAAAUGUAGGUACAGUGCUACAUGAAGAGUCAAUUUUUGCUGAUUAAGGGACCCAAUGGAUGAAGUUUGAUAGUAAUCCUUGCUACACAU
ensembl:snoRNA SNORA62 Small nucleolar RNA SNORA62/SNORA6 family